CUCAGAUACACAUAAAAUGACAUACACACACUGACACACACUCACAGGCACACCCAUUCUCACUGAAAGACACACACUGACAGCUACACUCACUCACAGUAAGGUGGACAGCCCCAGAACACGAGGCAAACAAGGCAUUUGUCUGGGAGCUUCACCCCCCUGAAAGUGCCCUAGGCAAAUGCCUUGUUUGCCUUGUGGUAAAUACAUCCCUGGAUUUACAAAUGAAAAAGCCUUCA